GACGAACGCUGGCGGCGUGCUUAACACAUGCAGGUCGUACGGUAAGGCCCUUUCGGGGGUACACGAGUGGCGAACGGGGGAGUAACACGUGAGUAACCUGCCCACAACUUCGGGAUAACGCUAGGAAACUGGUGCUAAUACUGGAUAUGUGCUCCUGCUGCAUGGUGGGGGUGGGAAAGCUCCGGCUGUUGUGGAUGGAGGCGCGGCCUAGCAGCGUGUUGGUGGGGUAGUGGCCUACCAAGGCGGCGGCGGGUAGCCGGCCUGGGAGGGUGACCGGCCACAUUGGGACUGGGAUUCGGCCCCGGCUCCUACGGGAGGCAGCAGUGGGGGAUAUUGCACUAUGGGCGCGAGCCUGAUGCAGCAACGCCGCGUGCGGGAGGACGGCCUUCGGGUUGUAAACCGAUUUCAGCAGGGACGAAGCUUUUUGUGACGGUACCUGCAGAAGAAGCACCGGCUAACUCCGUG
rnacentral:rRNA from 1 species